UGCUUCAUACGAAGGUAUGAAGGAAGAGCAUUGUUGUCAAGCUUUCCGUCAGAAGAUCCACCAGGAUAUCCUGA
rnacentral:ncRNA from 1 species